rnacentral:rRNA from 1 species
UACGAAGGGGGCUAGCGUUGUUCGGAAUUACUGGGCGUAAAGCGCGCGUAGGCGGCUUUGCAAGCCAGAGGUGAAAUGCCUGAGCUCAACUUGGGAAUUGCCUUUGGGACUGUGAGGCUUUGAGGACUGGAGAGGUGAGUGGAAUUCCCAGUGUAGCGGUGAAAUUCGUAGAUAUUGGGAAGAACACCGGUGGCGAAGGCGGCUCACUGGCCAGUUUCUGACGCUGCAGCGCGAAAGCGUGGGGAUCAAACAGG